UUGUUUUUUUUAGGAUGUCAGUGACAACCACACGAUGUUAGACUCAGAAGAAGGCGUUUCGUCAGUGGAUAACCUGUUUUAUGACGGGCCAGUAAUUCAUAAAGUGAAACCAUUAUGUCAGGGACAGGGCUCCUGGACGUUUGAUGCUCCACCCUCAUUAUCACAAAUACCUGCAACUCAAGACAUCCAGGGAGAGGCAGCACACCUUUUCUCACUUAGUUGUUCUCAGAGAUCAAAGAAAUUUCUGCCUCCUGCACAAAAACCUAUUCACAAUCCCAUCGCAAGUGUCCAGUGGCAGACUGUGAAAUCACAUGAGCUGGAGGAAUCGGUUUUGUGGACCCAUGAACCUUCUAGAGAAAGACAUCAAGCUGUCGACCAGAUGGGUUUUGUGGAAGCAGGGCCUUCACCUACUGCCAGUGCUCCUCCCUUCAAGACUCGGUUGUUCAGAGCUCCCACGAGAAGGAUCUCAGGGAAUGAUGAAGACAGUAUCCCAAAUCAGAUGAUGUCGACAACAAAUGACAUGGGUUUCCUUGGUCAGGUUGCCAUGACAAACAUAGGUCCACAGACUACACAUGCUGUUGCUACCUGUAGUCCUUUUACUGACUUUGGCCAAACAGAAAAAACAUGUGAGACACCUUCAAAAACAAACCAUAAUGUCCAUUUUGGUUUCAAACCUGCAGAACUUGAAGGUAAUAUAUCAUUGUAGCACUAUUACUUAACUUGAAUGUCAAAAUAUAGAGUGAGUUAAAGUUGUAACAAAUUUAACCAGCUAUACUACCUGUUAAAAAGUUAAAUCUCUGUACUUUUUAAUGCCGGGUACACACUGCAUGAUUUCAUUCAGAUGCACAAAGUCAAUUGCAAAUUGGUGCUCGUGCAUGUGAGUGACUGUCACAUAUUGUGUGCUGUGUGUUGUCAAAGACUCAAUCUUAGAGAAGCGCAGAUUCGUCACUGAUGCCCAUUAGAUACUAAAAACACAAAAGUUUCACAUACAGAAAACACUGUGUUAUGCAUGCCAGGCCAGUAGCUGACAACAUCACUUUUCCUGUGCACAUACACAUUUCUAAUAUAUACACAUAAUACAUUUGUGCAUGACAUAAAUGUUUUCUCAGGUUUGCAUUUUCAUAGUUUAUAAGGGUUUAAUUUUCAAAACUUGUACUUUGAAACCCAUCUUACCCUCAAUAUGAUGUCUGACCCACGUCGAUGAUUUGUUUUGUAGUGUGCACUCAACAGCAGAUAAAUGGUACCCCAGACAAUCGUGUGGUGUGAAAUGAACAGCAACAUUGAAAAUCAUGCAGUGUGUUCC
rnacentral:lncRNA from 1 species